rnacentral:misc_RNA from 1 species
GAAAAGAACUUUGAAAAGAGAGUUAAACAGUACGUGAAAUUGUUGAAAGGGAAACGAUUGAAGCCAGUCGUACCUAUGGGUAAUCAGCCUUUUGGGUGUGAUUUUGUGGAGCGUGAAGAGUUAAACGCCUUCAUGCCUGCAUAUUCGUGCACUUUGGGUGUACUUGCCCGUGUGUAAGUUAACAUCAAUUUUGGUGGUCAUAAAAUGGCUGGAGGAAUGUAGCUUCGAUCUUGUAUUGAAGUGUUAUAGCCUUCGGUAGAUGUGACGAUCGGGAUUGAGGAUUGCAACGGAUACCCUUCG